UACAGCGAAACUGCGAAUGGCUCAUUAUAUAAGUUCAUCUGUUUAUUUGAUAGUGCCUUACUACUUGGAUAACCGUGGUAAUUCUAGAGCUAAUACAUGCUAAAAACCCCGACUUCGGAAGGGGUGUAUUUAUUAGAUACAAAACCAAUGCCCUUCGGGGCUCUUUGGUGAUUCAUGAUAACUAUACGAAUCGCACGGCCUUGCGCCGGCGAUGGUUCAUUCAAAUUUCUUCCCUAUCAACUUUCGAUGUUUGGGUAUUGGCCAAACAUGGUUGCAACGGGUAACGGAGGGUUAGGGCUCGACCCCGGAGAAGGAGCCUGAGAAACGGCUACUACAUCCAAGGAAGGCAGCAGGCGCGCAAAUUACCCAAUCCCGACUCGGGGAGGUAGUGACAAUAAAUACUGAUACAGGGCCCUUUCGGGCCUUGUAAUUGGAAUGAGUACAAUUUAAAUCCCUUAACGAGGAACAAUUGGAGGGCAAGUCUGGUGCCAGCAGCCGCGGUAAUUCCGGCUCCAAUAGCGUAUAU
rnacentral:rRNA from 1 species